ACCCAUUCCUGGUAUUCCUGUUGGAUCAACUUGGAGAUUUAGAGUUCAGAGUCUGGGUUUCACCAUAUUGCCCAGACUGAUCUUGAAUCCCUGGGGUCAAUUUCUCCUGCCUUAGUUUCCCAAAGUACUGGGAUUACAGGUGAGCGAAGCAGGUGUUCACAGACCCCAUGUUGGUGGAAUUCAUGGUCGAAGUAAUGAUGGGGCUUAUUCUCUUGUACUGGCUGGUGGAUUUGCGGAUGAAGUCUUGACAGAGUUAUGAAUAUGAAUAUUGUGGAGUCUGUCCAGAUACCGGGUGGAAGACUGGUUUUGAUCAGUUUAAGAAGUAUUCUAAACUGUUCUAGAUGUACGUAUUUAUUAGAAUUCCUUCUCAUAGAAUACAUACUAAAGAUUAAGUUUCGUAAUACCUUGUUUAAAAAAUAUGUAGACCUUAAUAUUGGAUUAACAAAAGGUGAAAGUAAAUUUAAGGGUUUUGGACCAAUAACACUUUAAGACCAUGAGAUGUUUAUUUGUGGCUUUUAAUCCAAGGGAAAAACAAAGUAUAAAUAAUUGACUUCUAUAAUACGAAUUUAGUAGACACAAAACAUCAUUGUCUAAGUUGUCUAAACUAAUUAAAAUGAUCUUGCAUUAAAGAAUCACUAUUUUGCUAGUGUUAGUAGGAUUAAUUGUGCACUGAUAGUUACUUUUCUUAAUUUGUUUCAAGUACUGAAUCAGAUAGAGACAAUAAUAUCCAUAUAAAUUUGUAGCUGCUAUAGAAGUAAUUGGAGAGCUUUUGGCUUUUUUUUUUUU
rnacentral:lncRNA from 1 species